rnacentral:rRNA from 1 species
UACAGAGGGGGCAAGCGUUGUUCGGAAUUACUGGGCGUAAAGGGCGCGUAGGCGGCCCGCUAAGUCGAACGUGAAAUCCCCGAGCUCAACUCGGGAACUGCGUCCGAUACUGGUGGGCUUGAAUCCGGGAGAGGGAUGCGGAAUUCCAGGUGUAGCGGUGAAAUGCGUAGAUAUCUGGAGGAACACCGGUGGCGAAGGCGGAUCUCUGGGCCGAUACUGACGCUGAGGAGCGAAAGCGUGGGGAGCGAACAGG